GCUGACGAGUGGCGGACGGGUGAGUAAUGUCUGGGAAACUGCCUGAUGGAGGGGGAUAACUACUGGAAACGGUAGCUAAUACCGCAUAACGUCGCAAGACCAAAGAGGGGGACCUUCGGGCCUCUUGCCAUCGGGUGUGCCCAGAUGGGAUUAGCUAGUAGGUGGGGUAACGGCUCACCUAGGCGACGAUCCCUAGCUGGUCUGAGAGGGUGAACGGUCACAUUGGGACUGAGACACGGCCCAAACUCCUACGGGAGGCAGCAUG
rnacentral:rRNA from 1 species